rnacentral:rRNA from 1 species
GCGACCCCAGGUCAGGCGAGA